rnacentral:rRNA from 1 species
ACUCGAGUGGCGAACGGGUGAGUAACACGUGGGUGAUCUGCCCUGCACUUCGGGAUAAGCUUGGGAAACUGGGUCUAAUACCGGAUAGGAGCCAUCUUUAGUGUGGUGGUUGGAAAGUUUUUCGGUGUAGGAUGAGCUCGCGGCCUAUCAGCUUGUUGGUGGGGUAAUGGCCUACCAAGGCGGCGACGGGUAGCCGGCCUGAGUGGGUGUACGGCCACAUUGGGACUGAGAUACGGCCCAG